CCUACGGGGGGCAGCAGUAGGGAAUAUUGCUCAAUGGGGGAAACCCUGAAGCAGCAACGCCGCGUGGAGGAUGAAGGUUUUCGGAUUGUAAAGCUCUAUCAGCAGGGAAGAUAAUGACGGUACCUGACUAAGAAGCCCCGGCUAACUACGUGCCAGCAGCCGCGGUAAUACGUAGGGGGCAAGCGUUAUCCGGAUUUACUGGGUGUAAAGGGUGCGUAGGUGGCAGGGCAAGUCAGAUGUGAAAGCCCGGGGCUCAACCCCGGUACUGCAUUUGAAACUGUCCAGCUGGAGUGCAGGAGAGGUAAGCGGAAUUCCUAGUGUAGCGGUGAAAUGCGUAGAUAUUAGGAGGAACACCAGUGGCGAAGGCGGCUUACUGGACUGUAACUGACACUGAGGCACGAAAGCGUGGGGAGCAAACAGGAUUAGAUACCCGAGUAGUC
rnacentral:rRNA from 1 species